ACGCUGGCGGCGUGCCUAAUACAUGCAAGUCGAACGGUCUUUCUAUGGAAGCUUGCUUCCACUGAGAAGAUAGUGGCGAACGGGUGAGUAACACGUGGGUAACCUGCCCAUAAGAGGGGGAUAACAUCCGGAAACGGGUGCUAAUACCGCAUAGUUUUCUUGAUUGCAUGAUUGAGAAAGGAAAGACGGCCUUUGUGCUGUCGCUUAUGGAUGGACCCGCGGCGUAUUAGUUAGUUGGUGAGGUAACGGCUCACCAAGACGAUGAUACGUAGCCGACCUGAGAGGGUGAUCGGCCACAUUGGGACUGAGACACGGCCCAAACUCCUACGGGAGGCAGCAGUAGGGAAUCUUCCGCAAUGGACGAAAGUCUGACGGAGCAACGCCGCGUGAGUGAAAGAAGGUUUUCGGAUCGUAAAACUCUGUUGUCAGAGAAGAACAAGUUGGAGAGUAACUGCUCCAGCCUUGACGGUAUCUGACCAGAAAGCCACGGCUAACUACGUGCCAGCCGCGGC
rnacentral:rRNA from 1 species